AUUGAACGCUGGCGGCAUGCCUUACACAUGCAAGUCGAACGGUAACGCGGGGCAACCUGGCGACGAGUGGCGAACGGGUGAGUAAUGCAUCGGAACGUGCCCAGUAGUGGGGGAUAGCCCGGCGAAAGCCGGAUUAAUACCGCAUACGACCUAAGGGUGAAAGCGGGGGAUCGCAAGACCUCGCGCUAUUGGAGCGGCCGAUGUCAGAUUAGGUUGUUGGUGGGGUAAAAGCCUACCAAGCCGACGAUCUGUAGCUGGUCUGAGAGGACGACCAGCCACGCUGGGACUGAGACACGGCCCAGACUCCAAGGGGAGGCAGCAGGAGGGAAUUUUGGACAAUGGGGGCAACCCUGAUCCAGCCAUGCCGCGUGCGGGAAGAAGGCCUUCGGGUUGUAAACCGCUUUUGUCAGGGAAGAAACGCUCUGGGCUAAUACCCCGGGGCAAUGACGGUACCUGAAGAAUAAGCACCGGCUAACUACGUGCCAGCAGCCGCCGUAAAAC
rnacentral:rRNA from 1 species